GCCUUGAAUAGGGUACCAGCCGAGAUGAGGCCACUGAAUUGGUCCCUGCAUUUGGAACGAAGCAGGUGGCGCCGUAACAGAUGGUUGAGGAGGUACCGAUGAAGCAAUAAUUGAUGAUCGAGUAGGUAUCGCUCCUUCUUCUAUCGGGUCGACUGGUGCUGGAUUUGAGGCUUGGUGAGGUGAGUUGGAGGUUUCCUCCAUUGGAUGAUUUUAUCAAGGUUUUUUUUUAAAAAAAAAAGAGCAGAGAAGAAAUUCCUAUUCGGUGGCUGGUUUGUUUUGUAGAGUUGAUGUCGCAACAACAGACCAGAAAAGAACCGAAGGGCAAUUCGAAGAUGCAGAAGCUUAGGCUAGAAUCUGUUGCUCUGAUACCAUGAUAGAAAAUAAGGUGGAGAGGAAACUGGAGCUUUUGUAUUUCUGUAUAUUAUUGUUGUACAUGCUGAUUACACUAUUUGUAAUACAAAGGGCAAAGAGUAAAACAGGAAAGGAAUAAAAGAAAAUAUACAUCGAUUCUAAUUCCUAUUUUACCAAGUCAAUU
rnacentral:lncRNA from 1 species